UACGUAGGGGGCGAGCGUUGUCCGGAAUUACUGGGCGUAAAGGGUGAGUAGGCGGUUGUAUAUGUCAGGUGUAAAAGGCUAUGGCUUAACCAUGGUUAGCACUUGAAACUGUACAACUUGAGUGCAGGAGAGGUAAGUGGAAUUCCUAGUGUAGCGGUGAAAUGCGUAGAUAUUAGGAGGAACACCAGUGGCGAAGGCGACUUACUGGACUGUAACUGACGCUGAGUCACGAAAGCGUGGGUAGCAAACAGGAUUAGAUACCCUGGUAGUCCCU
rnacentral:rRNA from 1 species